rnacentral:rRNA from 1 species
ACGGAAGGCAGCAGUGGGGAAUAUUGCACAAUGGGCGCAAGCCUGAUGCAGCCAUGCCGCGUGUAUGAAGAAGGCCUUCGGGUUGUAAAGUACUUUCAGUCGUGAGGAAGGUGUUAAGGUUAAUAACCUUAGCAAUUGACGUUAGCGACAGAAGAAGCACCGGCUAACUCCGUGCCAGCAGCCGCGGUAAUACGGAGGGUGCGAGCGUUAAUCGGAAUUACUGGGCGUAAAGGGCACGCAGGCGGUUAAUUAAGUUGGAUGUGAAAUCCCCGGGCUUAACCUGGGAAUGGCAUUCAAGACUGGUUAGCUAGAGUCUUGUAGAGGGGGUAGAAUUCCAUGUGUAGCGGUGAAAUGCGUAGAGAUGUGGAGGAAUACCGGUGGCGAAGGCGGCCCCUGGACAAAGACUGACGCUCAUGUGCGAAAGCGUGGGGAGCAAACGAGGAUUAGAUACCCGU